rnacentral:rRNA from 1 species
ACUCCUACGGGAGGCAGCAGUGGGGAAUAUUGCACAAUGGGCGCAAGCCUGAUGCAGCCAUGCCGCGUGUAUGAAGAAGGCCUUCGGGUUGUAAAGUACUUUCAGCAGUGAGGAAGGUGGGUAUGUUAAUAGCAUACUCAUUUGACGUUAGCUGCAGAAGAAGCACCGGCUAACUCCGUGCCAGCAGCCGCGGUAAUACGGAGGGUGCGAGCGUUAAUCGGAAUUACUGGGCGUAAAGCGCAUGCAGGUGGUUUGUUAAGUCAGAUGUGAAAGCCCGGGGCUCAACCUCGGAAUUGCAUUUGAAACUGGCAAACUAGAGUACUGUAGAGGGGGUA